GUCGUACUGCAAUGAGCCGCCCCUGGCAGUCAUCAAGGCAUGCGCUCGUUCCAAACUAACACAGUUCUGCGCAGGACAGAAAGAGCGUCAGGAGUAGUGGGCAGGUUGGGCAUGCCUUCUUCAAGGCCCCGUCUACACUGCCGUAUAAUGCAGUUUGCAUCUGUGUUAUAUGGUCAGUAUAUGCCAGGGUGGCCCCAUCUAGAAAGGAAGAAAUGAGAGAAAGCAAGAGGAGAGGAUGGAUGGAUAGAUGAACAAACAGGAAACACCGCUGAGAUAACCAAAGAAUGAACAACAUGGCAAGCUCAAGAAAUUUUCUACUGAUGUCCUCUUCUUGCUACCUCCUUUUCCAGUCAGCUUGACCUGCCUUCACACUUAAGUGGCAGUCCGGCAGUUAAAAAAAAAUCCUUUUAA